UGGUGCAUCACAUCGUUUGUGAGAAGGAAUUUGAGGAUGGCUGGGCGUGUAUGCUUGAUAAGCAUGGGUUGCAAAAAAAACACAUUUCUCACCCAGAUUUAUGAGACCAGGAUGAAACGGGCUAAACCUUACUUCAUGAAUUUUUUCUGUGCCAAGAUGACUAGCACGCAGCGGAGCGAGAGUGCAAACCAUUUGCUCAAAGGGUACGUGCCGUCAGGAUCCCCGAUGCACUUCUUUGUUAGGCAAUAUGAGAAGAUGCAAUUUGAUAGAGAUUCAGAGGAGAGUUACCAGGAGAAAAGAACCAAGCUGGGUGGUGUUGUGCUGGCUCAGAACCUCCCCAUCGAGAUUCAUGCAUCGAAAAUUUACACACGGGCUAUGUUUGAAAAUUUUGGCGAGAUGCUAUAUGAGGGUGGGUCAUAUGUUCUGGUCGAAGUUGUCCCUUGUCGUGAAUACAUAGCAAGGCAUGUAAAAAAAGAUUCCCGAGACAAGUGGUGCAAAAAUGAAUUCCUCGUCCAGGUCAACGAGCUUGCUGAUGAAUUGAAAUGCGAAUGCGGGAUGUUUGAGCAUUUUGGCAUGGUCUGUAGUCAUGCACUAAAGGUGAUGAUCCAGCUUGGUCUGCAAGAGGUUCCGGCAAAACAUGUG
rnacentral:rRNA from 1 species